CUGGCACAGGUUGCCCAGAGAAGCUGUGGCUGCCCCAUCCCUGGAAGUGUUCAAGACCAGGUUGGAUGGGGCUUGAAGCAACCUGCUCUAGUGGAAAGUGUUCCUUCCCACUGCUGGAGGGUUGGAAUUACAUGAUCUUUGAGGUCUCUUCCAACCCAAACCAUUCCAUGAUUCUAUGACUCAAAGCUCCCUUAACUCCUAAGCUGACUCUCUACAGGUAUAUUGUUGUAUCUGUUGAAUCAAGGGUCACUUCUUGGCUACUGGUGGGAUUCUUGGGAACUAGCUUCAGCUGCAGUGGUUUUGUGGAUGGAUAACAGAUGUAGAAAUAAAAAUGUACUUUGCCCCAAAAUGGCCUUUUGCACUCACGUAUUCUGCUUUACAGAAAUAGUUUAAAGGGAAGAAAAUUGUUGUGCAGUAGUGUGGUUUCUUAUGUGAAAUCACAUGGAGGUGACACAGGCUGCGGUUCCACUUGGUAGAGAUGGUGGUAAAUUUGGGGAAGGAAGUGAAGGUUUCAGUCCUCCAUUACCUUAGGUCUUGCUGUGUUGAGAGGUUAGAUAGUUCUUCUCUCUCUUUUUAAUUUGGUAAUAAGUAGGGAAGAGAACAAAAGAGCAGAGAUAAACAGCUCUGUACUGAGUCCAAGUUUCUUCGGAGUGGCUGCUGGAACUUCUAAGAGCUAUUCCUAGUAUAAAUAAAUCUCAGUGGAGAAGGGCAGUAUAAGCAAAAAGUGUGUAGAAGCCUGAUUUCUUUCCUAAGUGGAUAUUAAUUUAAUGUAUUUCCUGCCUGGAUAUGAAUUUUGAGUUUGUUCUGUGUUCAGGUUUUCAUGUAAAAGCACUGCUUUGGUUUCCAGAAGAGUGGUGCAAAUGGGAAAUUGCUGUAACGACUGUUAUUGUCAAGUUUAGUUUCUGACUGCACUUUGUUCUAAGCAGGUGCUAGAAACAGUGAUGUCUGAGAAUGUCAUACUCUGGAAGUCUAAUCCCAUCCCAGUGUUUCCAGCCUGAUUCAGCCGUGUGUGUGCAAGUCUCCUGCCCUGCUUAUCACCACUUGACUGCAGCAGAGCAGCCAGCGGGGUGUGCUGGACACUGCCAUCACUGUGCCCCAGAAAUGCAGCAUUUGAAUGCUCCCUGUGAUUCUGAGUCACUGUGACUCCAGGCACAACACUGAGUGCUGCAUUCCCAGUGUUCAAUAAUGCUUUAGGAGCUGGCAGCUCAGCUGAAGACAUGGAAAUGUCUCAAGUUUGAAUUUAAACACUUUUUCAGGUUAUCACUAAUACAGUAAGUCUCUGUCUCCGCUUCUUUAUCAAUAAAAGGGAGGUUAGAAUAAUAUUUAUGUAGUUUCCUUACAGGAGUUUUUUUCAGGAUUAUUUAGUUAAUGUUGGCACUGUGAGAUGUUAUAAAUACUAGAGGCUUGUACCCGUGUACCAUAUGAUUUUCCACUUUCUGAAUGCAACUGUUAUUCUUCUGCCACUAUUCAGCCCAAUGAUUUUUAUUUUAUUUACUUCGAUUCUUUGUAUUCUAGAUUAUGCCCCACUGGCAAGGGAUCUUGGGAAAGAACUGUGAUGCUUUUGUUCGCUGAACAAAACCUGAUUCAUCCCUUUCCUUACAUCACCACCCAGCUCUCCAGCUUUUCAACACAGAGAUUGCUAUGGCUUUCCUUUAGGUACACUGAAAAUCACAGCAGCUGUUUAUUUGGAGUCAGCACUCUCCAGCGUUAUGAAGUGGUAAAAAUAUAUGUAAUCAUAGGAGAGAUUUAAUUAUCGGAGAUACUGCAGAAGUGGUUUCUUGAAGAGAGUGAAAACAAAUAGGAAAUUCAGAAACUGUGACUGGCUGAAUUCUAGAAAGAGCUCUGAAAAGCAGUGAGAGUGAGAGGAAAAAUAAGGGUUGAUGAGAAGCUAAGUGAUGGGCAGAAAUUUAGGAAAUAGGGUCACAAUAAUGAAAAGCAGGGGAAUUUUUGAGAUGGAGAUACAGAGUGAGAGUAGGUAAAUCAGAGAGAGAUGCACUGGCUCUGUUACUAUUGUGGGACCCAGUAAUGCUCCCAAUUUCUUUGCCUGGGUAUGUGUUUCUGCCUGAAUUAAAGUUUAAUUAAAAUUUAUUCAUUCCUUUGUUUAGUGAAUGGGAUAAAAUUGCAAGAAGAGAACAGAAAGGCUUUGGGGGCUGGCUGCCAUCAGUAUUACACACGAGGCACCAAAUUAGGUUUCACAGGCAAUCUUAAUUUUUGCAUUAUUUAACUUUUGCCUGACUUUAUGCAAUAUAACCUACUUGUUAAGACAUUCCUUUGCUGUUACAUAUGUAUGUAUGAGUAUUUUUUGAAACAAUGGCUUGUAAAAAGCUUCAAAUAAAACUGCCCAUGUUAUUGUCCACCUUA